rnacentral:rRNA from 1 species
UACAGAGGUCUCAAGCGUUGUCCGGAAUUAUUGGGCGUAAAGAGCUCGUAGGCGGUGUGUCACGUCGUUCGUGAAAAACCUGCAGCUUAACUGUGGGCGUGCGGUCGAUACGGGCAUCACUGGAGUUCGGCAGGGGAGACUGGAAUUCCUGGUGUAGCGGUGAAAUGCGCAGAUAUCAGGAGGAACACCGGUGGCGAAGGCGGGUCUCUGGGACGGUACUGACGCUGAGACGCGAAAGCGUGGGGAGCGAACAGG